AGGACCUGUUUGAAAACAAAUAUGUAAACACCCAUUCCAUAGGAAAUAGACUCAUUUUAAAGAAAUUAAAAACAAAAAGGGAUUAUAUCAACUUUCAUUGGGUGUCAGAAUAUUUAUUCACGCCAUGGGUCGUCAAGCCAUUGUAAUCAAAAGCCAAGCAGAGGAAACUGAUGAAAUAACCUUGCUAUGUUGUUCCAUCCG
rnacentral:misc_RNA from 1 species